AACCAGGACUCUUUCUCCUUCUCCUAUUAGACAUUAAGAUGGAGCCUCUGGCUUGCUAAGGAAUCUCCUUUGCAUGGAUCAUUGAUUUAGAUAUAGAAGAGACCUCAGAAGUCAUCUAGUUCAAGUGCUUUAUUCUAUAGGUGAAGAAGAUGAGAAUAAGCCUGGAGAACUGAAGAGAAUUGUUCAAAAUUACAGUCAGCAUUCCAGUUUACAGAUGAGGGAACCAAGGUACUCAAAGAAUCUCUCACAAAGGAGGAUUGGAUACUGAUAAUGCUGUUGGAAAUUAUUGUUCAGGUAAGAGUUUAACUAGAUGGUAUUAGGCAUUCCUUAAAACUCUGAAAUUUUAUGAUCUGGCUCUUUAAAAUACACUUGGGGAAUUUUUUUGUAGUCAUUUUGGUUUUUUGCUGGUGCCGUGGAUAAAGUCCUGGUCUAAGGACUAGAAGUCCUGAGUCCAAAUUCUGUCUGAGAUAAUUACUAGCUCUGUCACCCUAAGCAAGUCUAAUA
rnacentral:lncRNA from 1 species